rnacentral:rRNA from 1 species
UACGUAGGUGACCAGCGUUGUCCGGAUUUACUGGGCGUAAAGAGCGCGCAGGCGGUCGUUCAAGUCGAGUGUGAAAGCCCCGGCUCAACUGGGGAGGGUCACUUGAUACUGAUCGACUCGAAGGCAGGAGAGGGAAGCGGAAUUCCCGGUGUAGUGGUGAAAUGCGUAGAUAUCGGGAGGAACACCAGUGGCGAAGGCGGCUUCCUGGCCUGUUCUUGACGCUGAGGCGCGAAAGCUAGGGGAGCAAACGGG